UGCCAAGACCACUCAAUAGGGAAAAGAGAACAUGCCCGAUCCAAACUGAUCUCAGAAGCUAGGCAAGGUUAGGCCUGGUUAGUAUUUGGAUGGGAGACCACGUAGAAAGACCAGGUGCUAUAGUCU
rnacentral:rRNA from 1 species